rnacentral:tRNA from 1 species
AGAUAUUGAAGUAAUAAUAUACAUUUAGUUUCGACCUAAAAAUAAGACAACAUGUCUCUUAUCUA